CCUUCACCUUUUUUGUUUCUGUUUGAUUUUCCUCUUUGUUGCCACUAUUGAUCAAUCUCUUCAUUCACCGCUCUUGUCAUCCUUUAUCACGAGUCAUCGAUUAUAGCCAACACGUACCUUCAUUCAAUCUUUAUUCGUCUUCUCCUCAUAUUUCUCUUCUCGUCGUCCUUUAUCAUGAGUCAUCGAUUACAACCAACACCUACCUUCAUUCAAUCUUUAUUCAUCUUCUCUUCAUAUUUCUCUUUGUUGUCACUAUCGAUCAACCUCUUCAUUCAUUGCUCUCGUCGUCCUUUAUCACGAGUCAUCGAUUACAGCCAACACCUACCUUCAUUCAAUCCUUAUUCAUCUUCUCCUCAUAUUUCUCUUUUUGUUUUUUGAUUUCAUUUUCCUAAAAUUUCCCCAAAACACAAAAUCCUAACAUUUUCCCUUUCCAUUUCUGGCCAAUUCGGGUUGCAAUUCAUGAAACCACCACCACCAAUCGACUUAUUUCCAUGUUCGCAGCAAAACCCUUAUGAUUUUAGUUUCUGUCGCUGUGCGUCGCAGUGAGGUGAUUUCCGGCCGCCGCGAGCCUCCGUCAUUUGCCACAAACAAUGAUUUCUGGCCACCGUCGGAUCUGAAUCUCUCCAUUGCCUAUUCUGCUUUCGACGUUCCAUGCUCUCACCUUGUGCUUUUCAGUUUGUUAAGCUUUGAUAGCUUCAUGGAUUGAUGGUUGUAGCUUCUACCAAGUGGCCUUGUGUUGUGGCUUCUACUUGGCGGUCAAGCUUUUGAUGAUUGAUUUGGACUCUUAGUUCUAUUGGAGUUGGAAGAAGUUCUACGAGACUUGUAUUAUUACUUAAUUAGUUUCAUUGUAUUUUGAUAUGUUUUCUAUUAUCCUCUCCAAGCUAGAAGUGUUAUAAACACCUUCCAGCUUGGGGGGCUAUUAGAGAUAAAAAUUACUAUUGGAGUUGGAAGAAGUUCUACGGGACUUGUAUUAUUACUUAGUUUCAUUGUAUUUUGAUAUGUUUUUGUAUU